rnacentral:rRNA from 1 species
UGGGGAAUUUUGGACAAUGGGCGCAAGCCUGAUCCAGCAAUACCGCGUGCAGGAUGAAGGCCUUCGGGUUGUAAACUGCUUUUGUACGGAACGAAACGGCUCUGGUUAAUACCUGGGGCUAAUGACGGUACCGUAAGAAUAAGCACCGGCUAACUACGUGCCAGCAGCCGCGGUAAUACGUAGGGUGCGAGCGUUAAUCGGAAUUACUGGGCGUAAAGCGUGCGCAGGCGGUGAUGUAAGACAGAUGUGAAAUCCCCGGGCUCAACCUGGGACCUGCAUUUGUGACUGCAUCGCUGGAGUGCGGCAGAGGGGGAUGGAAUUCCGCGUGUAGCAGUGAAAUGCGUAGAUAUGCGGAGGAACACCGAUGGCGAAGGCAAUCCCCUGGGCCUGCACUGACGCUCAUGCACGAAAGCGUGGGGAGCAAACA